GCGAGAGUGGUGAAAUUGGUAGACACGCUAGAUUUAGGAUCUAGUGCCUUAAGGCGUGUGGGUUCGAUUCCCACCUUUCGCA
rnacentral:tRNA from 1 species